rnacentral:rRNA from 1 species
GAUGAACGCUGGCGGCGUGCCUAAUACAUGCCAGUCGAGCGAACAGACGAGGAGCUUGCUCCUCUGACGUUAGCGGCGGACGGGUGAGUAACACGUGGAUAACCUACCUAUAAGACUGGGAUAACUUCGGGAAACCGGAGCUAAUACCGGAUAAUAUAUUGAACCGCAUGGUUCAAUAGUGAAAGACGGUUUUGCUGUCACUUAUAGAUGGAUCCGCGCCGCAUUAGCUAGUUGGUAAGGUAACGGCUUACCAAGGCAACGAUGCGUAGCCGACCUGAGAGGGUGAUCGGCCACACUGGAACUGAGACACGGUCCAGACUCCUACGGGAGGCAGCAGUAGGGAAUCUUCCGCAAUGGGCGAAAGCCUGGCGGAGCAACGCCGCGUGAGUGAUGAAGGUCUUCGGAUCGUAAAACUCUGUUAUUAGGGAAGAACAAAUGAGUAAGUAACUAUGCACGUCUUGACGGUACCUAAUCAGAAAGCCACGGCUAACUACGUG